UUUGUGUUACUAUACAAUUCCUCUUUUAUUAAUCUUUUGUAUGAAAAGGGUUACACAUCACAGAUCUACUUUGGAUUUUCAACUUUUGUGAGCUUUGUAUAAUUCGUUUAACUUGUCUUUUACAUAUUGUGUUUGGUCAAUGCAUUCUGCCCACCCAAAUUACCAAAUUUCUCAUCAUUAUGAAAUUCAAGUUGUCUUCCAUGUUGCUCAAGUAGGUAGUACAUGAAAUCAGCUGUCGCUACAUUGUAAAAUUGCCUCAGAAGAAUCUUACUAUCAUAAAGGACUCUGCUUGACCACAAAAAAAAAAGGGACAAACACACACACACACAAUCCUUAUUGAGCCAUGUUAGGUUGAGUUUGCAGAAACUGAUGCGGUA